AAUAUCUGAGAGAAAGGAAGCAGGGAUGAGUGUGCUAGCUCUGACCUCAUCCCCACCACCUUCGGUGAGCAGAAGGAUGACUGUGUAAUAUGAGGGAUAUACAUGGAAAAUUAGAGUUGUGCAUUGUGCACAGAGUCUACAUGAGUACAUGCAAUCUCUCUACUUCAGACAAUCUGCCUUCAAGUCUUGGAAGAGUAACAGUAAUGAAGAUGGGCAGAAUUUGCACACCUGAUGAGUGGAACAUCUCAUAAUGUGAUGGAAGUGCUCUCCAGGUGGUGGUAUGCACUGAACACACCUGCUGGGCAUGGUGUUCUGCAGUGCAGAAGCAGCAUCUCUUGUGGAUAAGAUCUUGUUGGAUCUCAAAAGAUGGAAAUGUGAAGGAAGACUCUAGUGGAACCGAGGGUGGCAAGGGAACCCCAAUCAGAACAGAAGAUGACCUGCAGCAGAACAGAACCAACACAACAUCUGACAAAUACAGAGUAGAAGAGAAAAUGAUGCCUUCACAGAAAGAGUCAAAGACCCACUUUUGAAUAUAGUAAGAUUAUAUCUCCCCUGUGGGUGAAAUCUAAAUUACAUCUUGUCCUCAAGGCAAUCACCGUUUUUUUGUUAUGUAAGUUUGUUAGUAGCCCACAAUGGGUGCAGAGCUAUUGCAAUUAGAUAACUAAGCUAAUACAACUCAUGAGUCAUGAAUUCUGACACUUAGAAUUUCUAGGUUAAGGGAUUACUGAUAAUUUGGCCAGGAAUUUUUAAUUGCACCAGCAGGUCCUCUGGUUGCCAUAAUUAAAAGCGUUCUCUCCCUGCUUUAGCCAAAUAAUUGCUGCAAGAACCACAGGUUGUGGUUAUGUGCACUGCCCAGCUGAUUCCUGGACGUGCUAUUGUAGGACCAACAUGAAGAACGGAACGGCUCCUGCCAUUAUUAUAUGCACACAUGACUUUUUCGAGCAACUGUGUUUCACAGCAACUGCUUGAGAGAUGAGGUCACGCAGUUGAAAGUAAUGAAUCGUGCAAAACAAAUGCAGAUGGCUGCAGUCAUAGUUUAUAGUCUCUUGCAACUUAAUUUGAAGUGUUCACCCAUUGGGGAGCCUUUUGUUAUUUGAAAAAGGUUUAACUGCAAAUGAUAAGACUGAUAAAUCUAUGGAGAUUGCGGGGGGAG